rnacentral:rRNA from 1 species
CCUACGGGUGGCAGCAGUGGGGAAUAUUGCACAAUGGGGGAAACCCUGAUGCAGCGACGCCGCGUGAGGGAAGAAGUAUUUCGGUACGUAAAGCUCUAUCAGCAGGGAAGAGAAUAACGCUAUCUGACUAAGAAGCGCCGGCUAACUACGUGCCAGCAGCCGCGGUAAUACGUAGGGGGCGAGCGUUAUCCGGAUUUACUGGGUGUAAAGGGAGCGUAGACGGCAGGGCAAGUCAGGGGUGAAAUCCCAGGGCUUAACCAGGGAACUGCUUUGGAAACUGUGCAGCUAGAGUGCAGGAGAGGAAAGCGGAAUUCCUAGUGUAGCGGUGAAAUGCGUAGAUAUUAGGAGGAACACCAGUGGCGAAGGCGGCUUACUGGACUGUAACUGACGUUGAGGCUCGAAAGCGUGGGGAGCAAACAGGAUUAGAUACCCCUGUAGUC